rnacentral:lncRNA from 1 species
GUGGUGGUGCCCGCCUGCAGUCCCAGCUACUUGGGAGGCUGAGAUGGGAGGGUUGCUUGAGCCCAGGAGGUUGACACUGCAGUGAGCUAUGAUGGAACUAUUGCACUCCACUCUGGGUGACAGAGUAAGACCGUCUCAAAAACAACAAAAAAAGACAUACACACUUGCCUUUCACAUAACCCAGCAAUUUCACUCCUCAGCAAUUGACCCAAAAGGAAAUCAACGUCCACACAAGGACUUGUACACGAGUGUUCACGAGCGCAUCUGAAACAGCCUCAAACGUGCAAUGUCCUCUAACAGAUGAAUGGCUACACACCCUCAGCGUGCUGAAGGACUACCGACUGCCACACAAUACAAACGAACAAACCAUUGAUGCGUGACUCAACACACACCCUCAGCGUGCUGAAGGACUACCGACUGCCACGCCACAACACAAAUGAGCAAACCAUUGAUGCGUGACUCAACAUAAUUACACUGUGAAAAAAGCCGAAGGGAAAAACAUAUACUAUGUGAUCCUACUCCUACGGAAUUCUACAGAAUACAACUAAUUUAUCGUGAAAAAAGUAGCUCACUGGUGGCCUGGGGCAGGAGGGGGGGUGGUGACCAAGGGCCUGUGGACCCCGUGGGAGCCACAGAUCUGUGGGUCUUCUUGGUUGUCACUAUGGCUUCACAGGUGUGUGCAGACAUCAAAGUUCAGAAAUCAAAGGGCACAUUUUAAAUAUGAGCAGUUUUCAUACGGCAAUCACACCUCAAUAAGGCUGUUAAAAAUCACCCAAUGGUAAAUUUAAAAGACUGAGAAAAGAACUUUCACGGGAGGAAUGUGACUCCUCCUCCUUGAGCUACGUGUUCAUUUCUUGAAACCACUUGCUGUUGCCACAAGUAGCUCUAAACUAACCCAAUAAUGCCGCACCCAAUAGUUUAACGAUGUACAGCCAAUCACGAAUGAACGUUACUAUUGUAAGCCAAUGAGAAUUCCCAACAGACAACUUUGUAUCUAUCCAAUCACUGUCCCUUUUUGCCUUUAAAAAUCCAUCUGUAGCUGAGGCUGGCUCACUCCUGUAAUCCCGCACUUUGGCGGGCCAAGGUGGACAGAUCACUUGAGGUCAGGAGUUCGAGAUCAGCCUGGCCAACGUGGCGAAACCCCGUUUCUACAAAAAAUACAAAAAUUAGCUGGGCGUGGUGGCGCAUGCCUGUAGUCCCAACUACUCAGGAGGGUGAGGCAGGAGAAUUGCUUCAAACUACAGGGUAGAGGUUGUGGUGAGCUGAGAUUAUGCAACUGCACUCCAGCCUGGGUGACAGAGUGAGCCUGUCUCCAAAAAAAGAAAAAGUCCAUGUGUAACUGCUGCUCACCAGAGUGUAUAUUCAAGGCAAUGGGAUAUGUCCACCCUGGCUGCAAUCCUCAAGCUUGACCCAAAUAAAUUAUGUAGAUUACUUUUGCCUCUGCUUCUUCCUUUAAGGUUGGCAAAACUCAUCUUAAAACAUCCCACUCUGGAUUUUGUGUGUGUGUAUACUGGGGACAGGGUCUGGCUCUGCUGCCCAGGCUGGAAUACAGUGGUGCAAUCAUAGCUCACUGCACAUCGAACUCCUGGGUUCAAGUGAUCCUCCGGCCUCAGCCUCCCGAGGAGCUGGGACUACAGGUGCACACUCCCAUGCCCAGCUAAUUUUUUUAUUUUUUGUAGAGAUGGGGUCUCACUAUGCUGACCAGGCUGGUCUUGAACUCUGCUCAAGCAGUCCUCCUGUAUUUGCCUCCCAAAGUGCUGCGAUUACAGGCAUGAACCACCAUGCUUGACCCACUCCCUAGUCUUAGACUGCUUUCUUCUGAAUGUGUUCCAAUACAAGAUUCCUGGCUAGCACUGAGUCCCGGAGGGGUCCCCAUGGUGAGGAAUGGCUCCUUGGGGGAAAGCACCUGAUCCCCAGAGAGCAGCUGUCAGUGGACGAUGACCUCUGGACAGAGCAGCCUCUCAGAAGCCCCUCCCCGGGCAAGUGGGCCCAGGCCGCAGGUGCCAGGAGCCUUGGGGGCUCCGGCUGCCACAUUCCCGGGACAUGCACAUUCCCUGGACUGUUGGCUCUGCCCCAAAAGUACUUCCAGAGUUCGACCAGGCUGGGCCAGGUCUCUCACCCUGGGUUCCUGCAACAGCCUCCCUACCUCCUGCCUCUGUUCUCAGGCCCUCCCGUGGCUCCUACUAACCCCCAAGUGAAAAUACACAGUACAGAAUACAAAUCAAAAACAAGAUUCUAAGCCCCACAACCAACCAAAU